rnacentral:lncRNA from 1 species
UAGAGGGGGCACCCACAUCUUAUAAGGCAAGAUGAGGGGGCACCCCUCAUCCCAUAAGGCAGGUACAGGGGGUGCCAACCUUUGGCCCCUUAGGAUUUUUGUGUGCAUAAGAAGAGAGGGGGUGUAGCCCCUCUCUCUUUCUCUCCAUGCCAACUCCAAAGGGGCAUGCACCUCUUGGACAUUCCAAAAGAAAAAGGAGGCAUGUGCCUCCUCUCCUCUUCUCUUUCCAAAAACAAUCCAUGCCA